rnacentral:rRNA from 1 species
GGAUAGAUACCCUAUUAUUGAAAAUGUAAAAUUUAUAUGUUAAAUUAGUAUUAGUUAUGAACUUGAAAUUUAAAUAUUUUGGCGGUAAUUUAGUCUUUUCAGAGGAACCUGUCCUAUAAUUGAUGGUCCACGAUAAAUUGUACUUGUUUUAAUUAGUUUGUAUAUCGUCGUAGUUGAAUGUUUUAGUAGAAUUUUAAAUGUUCAUAAUUUAUAAUUUUAAAUUAAAUCAGAUCAAGGUGCAGCUUAUAAAUAAGAAGAGGUGGGUUACAAUAAAUUUAUUUAUUGCGGAUUAUUAGAUUAAAUUUUAAUAUGAAGAUGGAUUUGAAAGUAAUAA